UACGGAGGGUGCGAGCGUUGUUCGGAAUUACUGGGCGUAAAGGGCGCGUAGGCGGUCUUGUAAGUCUCGUGUGAAAUCCCUCGGCUUAACUGAGGAACUGCACGGGAUACUGCAUGACUUGAGAUCGGGAGAGGGAAGCGGAAUUCCGGGUGUAGCGGUGAAAUGCGUAGAUAUCCGGAGGAGCACCGGUGGCGAAGGCGGCUUCCUGGACCGACACUGACGCUGAGGCGCGAAAGCAUGGGGAGCGAACAGG
rnacentral:rRNA from 1 species